rnacentral:rRNA from 1 species
UACGUAGGGUGUAAGCGUUGUCCGGAAUUAUUGGGCGUAAAGAGCUCGUAGGCGGUUUGUCGCGUCUGCUGUGAAAACUCGGGGCUCAACUCCGAGCUUGCAGUGGGUACGGGCAGACUAGAGUGCGGUAGGGGAGACUGGAAUUCCUGGUGUAGCGGUGGAAUGCGCAGAUAUCAGGAGGAACACCGGUGGCGAAGGCGGGUCUCUGGGCCGUAACUGACGCUGAGGAGCGAAAGCAUGGGGAGCGAACAGG